UGGGGCAAAAAUUGUGACAUCAGGGUAAAAAAAUAGAAAUGUAAUAAAUGAAAUGUUUUAUUUCUUAUAUGUUUCAUGGGACAAUCCUUCAACUAAAUCCACUUACAGGCAUUUCAUACCACCCUGCAUAUUGGAGUAAACUGAGAAAUAAGAUUUGACAAAAUACCACCGUUACAUGGACAUCAUUUAUCAUCCUUACUAAGACUAUGCUCUCCCACUGUCAAAAUAAAGGGGUUGAUCUCCAUUACUCUUGAUAAAUAUUUUGCUAACAACAUUGUUAGUCAUUUUAUUCCACACUUUUCAACAUGGCAUAUAUAUUUUGAAAGAUUUAGCAUCAAUAAAUGGAACUUGAUGCUCUGUGUGUAUACCAGUGCCAUGUUCUGUGUCGUUCUUUUUUCUCACCAGUCUAGAAAAUUGAAUUUAUGAUGGCAUGUAGAACUAAAUAGUUGAGAGAAGUCAUGCCUCAACAGAAUGGAAUAUUCUCUUUGGAAAAAAUAAACUACUCUUUCUGGCAUAACCUUCUAUUUUUGGUGUUACCACCGUUACAUGGACAUCAUGUCUCAGUAACAGAGGUAUACUUAGAAGCAAUGUUAAGUUAAUGUCCAUUAAUGGCCAUUACACACCAAAUUCCACUUCAUGCCUUAGAAUAUUUGCACAAGAUCAAUUGAUUACACUAAAGAAAAACAUUUUGCAUGUCAAAUUCUUUGCAAAUAAAAGCAAAUUAAAUUAGAGUUUAAACAAGGAAAAAUGUACAAAAUUAUUGAUAAAUUUAUAUUUAAAAUAAUACUAAGGUAAUCCUCAAGGUUCCACUUCCGUCUAUCUCUGGAAACAAAUGUUUCUGUCUAAAGCGGAAAAAAACAAAAGAGUGCUAGCUUAUGAUCUCCAAAUCUUUAUUACUUUAAAAUAUCUCCUUCACGGUAUUACUUUCAAAUGUACAUACCUCCGUUACAUGGACAUCAUGUCCUUGUAAUGAUCAUAUUGAAUAGUAUUACAUGUACUUGCCAUUCUUUUAGUAUCAACACACUAAUGCGAGUUAACUCAUCUUACUCAAGUGUAGAAAUACAACAUCUACAGGCAAGCUUCUAAAAUGCAUCAAUGAACAGGUUACAAGUUUAUGAACUUCAAGAUGAUCGGUGACCCAACGACAACUGUGUGGAAGAGGACUAUGUCAAUGUCACAAAAUAGAUAGAGGUAGAAUUGUGCCUCGCCAUCAGGCCAGGAGUACAGGUCACCAGAUUGACACUUCAUGUACUGAAGAUAUACAUUUUUACCUUCAACAGAG